rnacentral:rRNA from 1 species
CCUACGGGAGGCAGCAGUGAGGAAUCUUGGUCAAUGGACGAGAGUCUGAACCAGCCAAGUAGCGUGAAGGCUGACUGCCCUAUGGGUUGUAAACUUCUUUUAUAUGGGAAUAAAACCGGGUAUGAAUACCCUCUUGUAUGUACCAUGUGAAUAAGGAUCGGCUAACUCCGUGACAACAGCCGCGGUAAUACGGAGGAUCCGAGCGUUAUACGGAGUUCUUGGGUUUAAGUGGAUAGUAGGGUGAUAUUUAAGUCAGUUGUUAAAGUUGGCGGAGCAACCGUAAAAUUGCAGUUGAAACUGGCAGUCUUGAGUGCAGUAGAGGUGUGCGGAAUUCGUGGUGUAGCGGUGAAAUGCGUAGAUAUCACGAAGAACUCCGAGUGCGAAGGCAGCUCACUGGACUGCAACUGACACUGAUGCUCGAAAGUGUGGGUAUCAAACAGGAUUAGAUACCCUAGUAGUC